CAGAAAAGGUCCAUUUACUCUGUUUACAAGACAACGGACACCGGUACGUUUCAGAACCAUUGUUCUCCGGGACCCGUUUUCAAACUGGGCCGUUUCAGAGGAAACAUUCGGUGGUUUCAUGUAAAUGUACAGAACAAACCCAACAAAAAGCAGAUAUAAAGAACAGAAAGUUUGAGCUUCCAGGUCGUGAAGGCUGAAACACUCAGCAGCCGGUCUGCUGCGCCCCCUGCUGGAGCACAGCAGGAACUGCAGCUGUGAUACCCUAACCCUGUGACGAAGAUCCGCUUCCUGCCGAGUCAUCAUGAUGAUGAUGAAAAGGGAUCAUUUGAUCCCAUCACGCGGUGACAUGAAAACAUUCAGUGUGACCUUUGACCCCAGCUGAUCAAACUGAACCCUUCACACUUCCUGAUGAUGAGCUCCAGUUAGUCUUUUCGUUUAUUGAUUAUCAGCAAUUGAUUAAUCUGUAAUCGUGACGAAGAAGCGCUUAAUGGAAGCACAACAGAAAUGUUUAUUAUGGUGUUAAAAGGGAAAUAAAUUAGAUAUAAAUGUUAUCAAUAAUUAUUAAUUAUUGACCAAAACAGCAAAAUUAAAAUCAGCCCAAAUAUUUACAUGGAAUUAAAAAUGUUGUCGUGUAAUUUCCCUGUUGAUGAAACUGAAUUUAGGAAUGACAGCAGAAAAUCGGGCCCGUUAGGAUCCUAAUCAAUACGCCGAUCGGGUCCUAAUCAAUACGCCGAUCAGGUCCUAAUCAAUACGAUUCUCGAAUGAAUGAAUGAACGAACUGGUUCAAGGUGGAACUUUUCAAAAACAUCUAGGGUUGAACUAUGAACAUGAAACAAGUCAUUUUAACCAGUCUGAACUGGUUAAGAGCCAGUUCACUGAACCAACGAGCGCCCUCUGUGGUCGCUGGCUGCAUUGCAAGCUUUCCUAUAAAUUAAGUUUUUCUGUUUUUUCUCUUGACGUGUUUCAGGCACAAAGUUCUGGGUUUCAGAGAAACUGGUCUGGAAAUCACUUUACCCUUUUCUCCACAAAAUAAGUUGAACAUUUAGUUUCAGAUCCAAAAGUUAGACUUUUCUCCUGCUGGAGUUUAUAUGAAACAACUGAACUUUCAGAGCAAAACAAAACAAAAUGAUCCAACGUUUCAGAUAAAAGUCAGAGGAAAUGUUUUCCAGUUUAAAAACGUCAUGAAACCGAAGUAAGCCUGCAAUAAUAAUAAUAAUAAUAACCAGAUUUCCUGAUAAACACUGGAGGCAAAAUUCUGGACAAGUUUUUAUUGCAGCUUUACCCAAAACAAACGUUUGAAGUUCCAGUUUUAGUAGAAACGGAUCAAAGUAAACACUAAAGACAGCUGUCAUUAUUCUCAUUAUUAUUAUUAUUGUUCUUGAUCCCAAACUGAACCAGGCGGGUCCACCUCCUGCGUUCAGUCCCAUCAGGUUUCCUCCUUAAAGCUGAGUGGCAAAACAUCAAAUCAACUGAAAUAUUUUUGUACAAAAAAUCUCUUCUAGGAACAGAAGCUCCAAUAUUCACAGGAAAGAGUCGGGUCCAAACAACCAAUCAGCUGAUCAGAAAAGCUGCGAUGCAAAACACAAAUCAGUUUGGAAAGUUUACCAAAUAAAAUGUUU